CCCUUAGAUGUCCUGGGCUGCACGCGCGCUACACUGAUGUGUCCAGUAAGCACCUAACCUCUUCCGAAAGGAACGGGUAACCUUUGCAAAGCACAUCGUGAUGGGGAUAGAUUAUUGCAAUUAUUAGUCUUGAACGAGGAAUUCCUAGUAAGCACAAGUCAUCAGCUUGUGUUGAUUACGUCCCUGCCCUUUGUACACACCGCCCGUCGCUCCUACCGAUUGAAUGUUCCGGUGAGCUCUUCGGACUGCGCGGUCUGCAGUUUCUGCGUUCCGUGCGGAAAGUUGUGCAAACCUUAACAUUUAGAGGAAGGAGAAGGCGUAACA
rnacentral:rRNA from 1 species